UGAGUACGAGACGCUAAGGCGUUGAAGCAGUCUAUGUCAGACUUCCAAGAAAAGCUCGCAAUGUCAUAAACAAGAAAUGCCUGUACCAUAACCGACACAGGUGGGUAGGUAGAGUAUACUAAGGGGCGCGAGAUAACUCUCUCUAAGGAACUCGGCAAAAUGACUCCGUAACUUCGGGAGAAGGAGUGCCUUAUUUUUAUAAGGUUGCAAUAACAAGAUCCAAGCAACUGUUUACCAAAAACACAGGUCUCCGCUAAGUCGUAAGACGAUGUAUGGGGGCUGACGCCUGCCCAGUGCCAGAAGGUUAAAGAAGUUGGUUAGUUUCGGCGAAGCUGAUGACUGAAGCCCUGGUGAACGGCGGCCGUAACGAUAACGGUCCUAAGGUAGCGAAAUUCCUUGUCGGGUAAGUUCCGACCCGCACGAAAGGCGUAAUGAUUUGGAUACUGUCUCGGAGAGGGGCUCGGUGAAAUAGACUUGUCUGUGAAGAUGCGGACUACCUGCACCUGGACAGAAAGACCCUAUGAAGCUUUACUGUAACUUGAGAUUGAAAUUGGACUUUAUUUGCGCAGUAUAGGUGGGAGACGUUGAGAAUAUUCUUGCGGGAAUAUUGGAGUCAUCAGUGAGAUACCACUCUUGUAAUGUUAGAUUUCUAACUUUGUAUCAUUAUCUGGUCAAAGGACAGUUUCAGGCGGGCAGUUUGACUGGGGCGGUCGCCUCCCAAACGGUAACGGAGGCGCACAAAGGUUUCCUCUGAACGUGUAGAAAUCGUAUCUAGAGUGUAAAGGCAUAAGGAAGCUUGACUGUGAGACCUACAAGUCGAGCAGGGACGAAAGUCGGUCCUAGUGAUCUGACGGUGCUGAGUGGAAAGGCCGUUACUCAACGGAUAAAAGUUACUCUAGGAUAACAGGCUGAUCUCCCCCAAGAGUUCACAUCGACGGGGAGGUUUGGCACCUCGAUGUCGGCUCAUCGCAUCCUGGGGCGGUAGUACGUCCCAAGGGUUGGGCUGUUCGCCCAUGAAAGCGGUACGCGAGCUGGGUUCAGAACGUCGUGAGACAGUUCGGUCCAUAUCCGGUGUAGGCGUUAGAAUAUUGAGAGGAGCCUUCUUUAGUACGAGAGGACCGAGAAGGACAUACCUCUGGUGUACCAGUUAUCGUGCCAACGGUAAACGCUGGGUAGCUAUGUAUGGAGUGGAUAACCGCUGAAAGCAUCUAAGUGGGAAGCCCACGUCAAGAUAAGUAUUCUCA
rnacentral:rRNA from 1 species